GACGAACGCUGGCGGCGUGCUUAACACAUGCAAGUCGAACGGAAAGGCCCCUUUGGGGGUACUCGAGUGGCGAACGGGUGAGUAACACGUGAGUAACCUGCCCUUGACUUCGGGAUAACUUCAGGAAACUGGGGCUAAUACCGGAUAGGAAUCCUUGCUGCAUGGUGGGGGUUGGAAAGCUUCGGCGGUUUUGGAUGGACUCGCGGCUUAUCAGCUUGUUGGUGGGGUAGUGGCUUACCAAGGCUUUGACGGGUAGCCGGCCUGAGAGGGCGACCGGCCACCUUGGGCCUGAGGUACGGCCCAGACUCCUACGGGAGGCAGCAGUGGGGAAUAUUGCACAAUGGGCGGAAGCCUGAUGCAGCAGCGCCGCGUGCGGGAUGACGGCUUUCGGGUUGUAAACCGCUUUCAGCAGGGGCGAAGCUUGUGGUGACGGUACCUGCAGAAGAAGCACCGGCUAACUACGU
rnacentral:rRNA from 1 species